rnacentral:lncRNA from 1 species
CUCUCGAAUAACUUCAUUCUUAAUCUUAUCUAGCCUUGUGUGACUGCACAUCCACCUAAGCAUCCUUAUCUCCGCAAUCUUCAUUCUCUGAACAUGCGAGUUUUUCACGGGCCAGCACUCCGCCCCAUACAACAUCGCAGAUCUAACCACGACUCUAUAGAAUUUCCCCUUGAGUUUGUGUGGAACUUUCUUGUCACACAGGAAUCCUGAUGCAAGCCUCCACUUUGACCACCCCGCUCCAAUACGAUGAGUGACGUCCCCGUCAAUCUCUCCGNNN